rnacentral:rRNA from 1 species
AGAGUUUGAUCCUGGCUCAGGAUGAACGCUAGCGGCGCGCUUAACACAUGCAAGUCGUGCGAUCGGACCGAACCAAAACUCUUCGGAGUUGCGGUUCGGUUACGGAGCGGCGAACGGGUGAGUAACACGUAGCUAACUUCCCUCUAGGAGGGGUAUAGCCCCGGGAAACCGGAGUUAAUACCCUAUAGAGUCGGGGAACACAAGUUCCCCGAUAAAAGAUCCUUUCGGAUCGCCUUGAGAUAGGGCUGCGUCCUAUUAGCUUGACGGUGAGGUAAAGGCUCACCGUGGCCGAGAUAGGUAGGGGGCGUGAGAGCGCGAUCCCCCACACUGGGACUGAGACACGGCCCAGACUCCUACGGGAGGCUGCAGUGGGGAAUCUUCCACAAUGGGUGAAAGCCUGAUGGAGCGACGCCGCGUGGGGGAAGAAGGCCUUCGGGUUGUAAACUCCUUUUCUGGGGGACGAAUGAGGUAGGCAGGCAAUGGUCUACCGAUGACGGUACCCCAGGAACAAGCGCCGGCUAACUUCGUGCCAGCAGCCGCGGUAAGACGAAGGGCGCAAGCGUUAUCCGGAAUUACUGGGCGUAAAGGGCGUCUAGGCGGUCCGUCAGGUCGACGAUGAAAGUCCUCGGCUCAACUGAGGAAAGUUCGUCGAAACCGGCAGACUCGAGGAAUGCAGAGGGAGGUGGAACUCUCGGAGUAGCGGUGGAAUGCGUAGAUACCGAGAGGUACCCCGAUGGCGAAGGCAACCUCCUGGGCAUUACCUGACGCUGAAGCGCUAAGGCCAGGGGAGCGAAGGGGAUUAGAUACCCCCGUAGUCCUGGCUUCAAACGAUGUGAGCUAGGUAUCGGGCCGUAAUAAAUGGUUCGUCGCCGUAGCUAACGCGUUAAGCUCACCGUCUGGGGAUUACGUCCGCAAGGAUGAAACUCAAGGGAAUUGACGGGGGCCCACACAACCGGUGGAGCACGUGGUUUAAUUCGAUGAUAAGCGAAGAACCUUACCAGGGCUUGACCUAGCGGUAGUAGGACCCUGAAAGGGGAACGAUUCCGGACUUAGUCCGGAAAGCCGUCGCAGGUGGUGCAUGGCUGUCGUCAGCUCGUGUCGUGGGACGUUGGGUUAAGUCCCGUAACGAGCGCAACCCCUGCCCUUAGUUGCCAGCGGUACGGCCGGGGACUCUAAGGGGACUGCCGGAGAAUAUCCGGAGGAAGGGGGGGAUGACGUCAAGUCAUUAUGCCCCUUAUGCUCUGGGCGACACACGUGCUACAAUGGGUACUACAAUGGGGAGCCAAUCCGCGAGGAUGAGCAAAUCCCAAAAAGGUACCCUCAGUGCGGAUUGGGGUCUGCAACUCGACCCCAUGAAGAUGGAAUCGGUAGUAAUCGCGGGUCAGCCAUACCGCGGUGAAUACGUACUUGGGCCUUGCACACACCGCCCGU